UCCGGUUUGUCACCGGCAGUCUCCCUAGAGUGCCCUUGCGUAGCAACUAGGGACAAGGGUUGCGCUCGUUGCGGGACUUAACCCAACAUCUCACGACACGAGCUGACGACAGCCAUGCAGCACCUGUGUUCUGGUUCUCUUUCAAGCACUCCCAACUUUCAUCAGGAUUCCAGACAUGUCAAGGGUAGGUAAGGUUUUUCGCGUUGCAUCGAAUUAAUCCACAUCAUCCACCGCUUGUGCGGGUCCCCGUCAAUUCCUUUGAGUUUUAAUCUUGCGACCGUACUCCCCAGGCGGUCAACUUCACGCGUUAGCUGCGUUACCAAGUCAAUUAAGACCCGACAACUAGUUGACAUCGUUUAGGGCGUGGACUAC
rnacentral:misc_RNA from 1 species